CUGGGUUGUGACCACAAACAUCAAGGAGGUCUGUACUAUCAAGGAAAAGGUCUGGAAGUCAGAGAUAUCCUUCCCAUCACUGCGCUCUGAGUUGUGAAUGGUCCCCAUGGGAACAAAGAACAGCACAAAGGAACUGUAGAUCCCAUGUAUUAAACAAUUCAUAAAUUUCUUCUUAUUGAAAAAGAGGUUGUGCUGGCCUGCUUCAUAUAGCUCUGGGAAACACAGGCUCCACAUUUCAUUCACAUCCUGGAAGCACCAGAAGGUAAGGCUCAGGGUCUCGCCAUAGAAGGUCCCAUCUCCAUCAGAUAAGAGGCUUCUCCCCUCACUGAGUCUGCUGCCAGGCUGCCUAGGAGCUUCCUCAUGGAAUACUUGAGAAGCAGAACCAGAGAACAGAGCAGUGACCACAGACCCUUCCGGAAUUCCUCUCUAGGGAAGGAUCUAGGAAGUAGAAGAAAGCUAAAGGAAGAAGCCUGGGUCCCAGGCUAGGACAAGACCACAUCAAGCUUUCAAGGCCAAUCUGGACUAAUCCUACCAUAACCUGCAUGCUCCUCCUUGCACAUAAAAGGAUCCCAGACUGGCUGCUAAGGAAAUAUAGCUGUACCCCUGCACUACUAGGCAAGUAAACAUUUUGGUUCUUUUCUUUAUCUGCUUGAUGGCAUUCAGUGGCUUCUGUAGCACUGGAUGGAUAUCUCCUAACUGGCAAGGGGAACAGAUCCAGUGACUCUUCUCCAGCUGGGUGCUCCAUCCUGGGGCCUAGAGAAGAUCCCUUUCUUCACUAUCCACAAGAGGUCAGCAGCAACACAUACAUUACACACAGACCUCCCACAAACCAG
rnacentral:lncRNA from 1 species